rnacentral:lncRNA from 1 species
GGCGCCCUUGGGGGUCUACCCAGCGAAAGCUUCUGGGGUUGGGUUAUACGGCGGGUCAGGCCUUCAAAUUGCAGGCUUUCCAGCUUUGGGCAGGUUUUUAGCUCUCGUGACCAAGCUAAAUUCCCUGGACUUAGGCUCUGCAAUAUAUACACCGUCUUCCUCGAGCACCAUCUUUGGCGCCAUGCUGCCCGCGCAUUCCUGUAUUCACUCCCAUUUUAUUUUCGUGGGAAACAGACCGGGAAAGCAAUGCAGUCUCACAAGAUCUCUUGAACCUCAACUUCAGCGCUCUUUGAAUGCUGUGUAGUCAUUUUCCCCUUGUCGAAGUCCUCAAAGUUAGCGAAAAGUUCUCAUCCAGUUUCUGGAGGAUGGAAGCCUCAUUCAGGCUGGAGUCUGGCUCUUCCGGCCUUUUACCUAGGAUCCUGGUUAAGGGCUAAGCUAGUACUUCAGCUAGCAACAGCCAGUUGGGUUUUUGCAAAGCUGAGCGAGUUCAGUUCACAGGAGGAGUCUUUAAAUUGUAAUGGUAACUGAAAAAUAGUUGUCAAUGUUGCCAUUUCCUUGUGAAACCUAUUGGUAAAUCAGGUACCCCUUUGAUAUGUAUGUGAAUCUUUUUAAAAGCUAAGAAGUAUGUUGCCAGCUUUAGGACCUAGGAAUGUUUUUCUUAAAGGCCUGGAAGUUACCUCUUUGAAAUGUAAACCGUUAAGGAAGAUAUUGCCCUAUCUUGCUGUCACUGGAAAUUUUGCUUCCUUGCUUAGCUCCAAGCUGUAAUCUCCUUGUCACAGAGAAGUUUUAUUUUUCUUUCAAAUAAAGAUAAUUAGCACAGGUAGCUACCCCCAAUUACCAGGUGAAUUUGGUAUCAACUGUGGAAAAAGGAUAUAUAGUAAACAACGUUGUAAAAUUGAAACUGCACAACUCUGAUUGGGACUUGAGCGAACGGCUGGAACUUGAACCCAGCCAAAACCCAGACUGGGACUUGAAUUCAUGGUCUUUUAAUUAGAAUCACUCACCUGGUGUCAGGACUUAUUGAGGCCCAGGUCCUUUGUGUCUCAGUACAGAAGGAAAUCAGAGAGAGGCAAAGUGAUAGGCAAGAAAGCAAUUUAUGAACAUAGGACACUUGCGAGGGAUAUAAGCAGGCAGGCAAGGGGGC